rnacentral:snRNA from 1 species
ACUGCUUCUCAGCCUUUUGGCUAAAAUCAAGCGUAGGCAUUCUGUUUUAAUCAGUUUAACAUCUGAUACAUCCUUUAUCUGUGGGCCACAUAUUGGAUGGAUUUUUGGAACGGGGAGAUGGAAUAGGAGCUUGCUCCGUCAAUAAACAAAAAAUUUCUCUCCUUACACACUAGACCAUCGUUCUUCUCCUC